CAAACCGAGCUCUCCUCCGCGGCAUCCAGGCUCGCUCAGAAAUGCAGAGAAGCUGCCAGCUGACUCGCAAGCCUCUCUCCCUUCAGCCUUGUUUGAAGAGGCCCCCGGGUUCUUGGAAGUGAGGGAGCCCAGCGCUGGGAAGCCACGGGAAGAUGUUCCGCACAUGGAGCCAGGGGCAGGCGCAGCUGCUGCGGGAUCCUCCGGGCAUCUGCAACCAUCAAAGCCUCCCUGGUGCCUCUGACCUGGCAGCUGGAGCCAGGGGAAAGCUUUAUGUGACUGCACAGUUUGCAGUGGAACACGAAAUGGGACUGGAAUGGAGCCUGGUUUGUGUGAGGAGAGAGGCACCAGUAAAGUGAGAGGGAGCCAAGGCAUCCAGUCACAAACCUUGUUUCCUGAAACCACCAGCUCUUUUCUUGGUGGUCUUCUGCUCCUGUCCAGAACAGCAACAUGGCAGAGGGGCAGGUUUCCCUCCUAGGAUCCUCAAAUUCCCAGCACAGUGUAAAUGGGAAAAGCAAAGCCAACACUUAGGAGCAUUAUCCUGCUACUCAGCUGUAUGUAGUGUGAGGCAAACGUUAAACAUGUUACUGUCCUAUAUCCCUAGGAUGAGGUAAAUUUAAACACUUCAUCUCAUUGGCUAAAAAACCAGGCUGGAAUUCACAGGAAUUUUCACAGGAAUAUUCAUAGGAACCUGUGAGCAUUCCUUAAUAAUGAUUGGACUAAAAAUUCUGUCUCAAGUAUUCUGGUGAGACCUCAGUGUGACCUCAUGCACAGCCAAGAUUCAGCCAGCUCAUGUCUUGUUGGAUUUCCCUCUGGAAACCUCACACUGUGACUUGAUGCCCUGACCAUUUGAAUGCUGAUUUUUUUUUUUUCCUCUGCCCCCCUGCCCCUCCUCUUUCCAAAUUGCAUGGAGUAGUUCUUGAAUUUUGCAGUGGUUGUGAGAAAAUAAAUGUAAUCAAAGGGCCA
rnacentral:lncRNA from 1 species